CCGGGAGGGGAGUGAAAUAGAACAUGAAACCAUAAACUUACAAGCAGUAGGAGAACGACUUAACGUUUGACUUCGUGCCUGUUGAAGAAUGAGCCGGCGACUUAUAGUUAGUGGCAGGUUAAGGCAGAGAAUGCUGGAGCCACAGUGAAAGCGAGCCUGAAUAGGGCGUUUGUCACUAGUUAUAGACCCGAACCCGGAUGAUCUAACCAUGGCCAGGUUGAAGCUUAGGUAAUACUAAGUGGAGGACCGAACCGACUGAUGUUGAAAAAUCAGCGGAUGAGUUGUGGUUAGGGGUGAAAUGCCAAUCGAAUUCGGAGCUAGCUGGUUCUCCCCGAAAUGCGUUUUGGCGCAGCGGUAAAUGUUAUAAUUUAGGGGUAAAGCACUGUUACGGUGCGGGCUGGUAACUCGGUACCAAAUCGUGGCAAACUAAGAAUACUAAAUGAAUAAUUUACCAGUAAGACUGUGGGGGAUAAGCUCCAUUGUCAAGAGGGAAACAGCCCAGAGCACCAGCUAAGGCCCCCAAAUAAUUACUAAGUGAUAAAGGUGGUGGGAGUGCAUAGACAAUCAGGAGGUUUGCUUAGAAGCAGCAAUCCUUUAAAGAGUGCGUAAUAGCUCACUGAUCGAGUAAACCUGCGCCGAAAAUGAAUGGGACUCAAGUAAUUUGCCGAAGCUGUGCGGUAUUUUAAUAAUAUCGGUAGGGGAGCGUUCUGUUGUAGGUUGAAGUAUUAACGAAAGUGGAUAUGGACGAAGCAGAAGUGAGAAUGUCGGCUUGAGUAACGAAAAUAUAGGUGAGAAUCCUAUACCCCGAAAACCCAAGGUUUCCUCCGGAAGGCUCGUCCGCGGAGGGUAAGUCAGGACCUAAGGCGAGGCUGAAAAGCGUAGUCGAUGGACAACGGGUUAAUAUUCCCGUACCAUUUUUUAUUGAUAACGAGGGACGGAGAAGGCUAAGCUGGCCGGAUGUUGGUUACCGGUUUAAGCGUCCGAGAUGUUGAGAAGUGGCGAAAACACUUUGAGUUGAGGCGUGAAUUCGAGACACUACGGUGUUGAAGCAGUCGAUGUCAUACUUCCAAGAAAAGCUUGCAAUGUCAUAAAUAAAAAAUGCCUGUACCAUAACCGACACAGGUGGGUAGGUAGAGUAUACUAAGGGGCGCGAGAUAACUCUCUCUAAGGAACUCGGCAAAAUAACUCCGUAACUUCGGGAGAAGGAGAAGCUUU
rnacentral:rRNA from 16 species